CAGGGAAGCAGCAGUGGCAUGACUCCUAGGUCAUGGAAGUCCUGCUUCUGUUGCAG
ensembl:miRNA